UACAAUGAUUAUGCGUUUCGUUUCUGAAAAUUCGAGAACAAUAUGUAAAAAACAAUGAAUAAAUGAACUCCAUGAAAUAUAGCAGACCUUAGUUUGGAUCGCCAGAUUUAACAAAAUGCACGGAUGCGCUUUGUUUCUCACGAAACGUGUAUGGCUUCUCCGCUCUCUCAAUUUCUCUUUAUAUUCUAUUUCUUCUUCCUCUUCCCUUCUACUUCUCUCCACUGCUCCUUCCCAUUUUCUUUCCUCUUUUCUCCAUUCUCUCCCUCCCAUUUCUUCCAUGGCUCCCGGGAUCGAAGCUCCACCGCGUUCUAGCAAUGGGGGCUCUGUUCGUCCCGAUUCCCAUUUCUCCGAUGAUGGGGUUUCUCGAAAAUCCAAAGUUACCAUCGUUGGAAGUGGAAAUUGGGGCAGUGUUGCGGCUAAACUCAUCGCCUCUAAUGCGGCUAGGCUGAGUUCCUUCCAUGAUGAGGUUCGAAUGUGGGUGUUUGAGGAAACUUUGCCUACUGGUGAGAAGUUAACUGAUGUUAUCAAUCUCAACAAUGAGAAUGUUAAGUAUCUCCCUGGUAUAAAGCUUGGCAAGAAUGUUAUUGCAGAUCCAGACCUUGAAAAUGCAGUGAAGGAUGCUAAUAUGUUGGUGUUUGUGACACCCCACCAAUUUGUGGAGGGGAUAUGCAAGAGACUUGUGGGAAAGAUAAGGAAAGAAGUGGAAGCUAUUUCCCUCAUUAAGGGGAUGGAGAUGAAGAAGGAAGGUCCAUGCAUGAUUUCUUCCCUCAUCUCCCAGGAAUUGGGUAUCAAUUGUUGCGUUCUAAUGGGCGCUAACAUAGCAAACGAGAUUGCUGUAGAGAAGUUUAGUGAAGCAACGGUGGGAUACAGGGAGAACAUGAGAGAGAUUGCUGAAAAAUGGGUUCAACUUUUCAGUACUCCCUAUUUUGUUGUUUCACCUGUCCAAGACGUUGAAGGAGUUGAAAUGUGUGGAACCCUUAAAAACGUUGUGGCAUUAGCAGCAGGUUUUGUUGAUGGUUUGGAGAUGGGAAAUAACACAAAGGCUGCGAUAAUGAGAAUCGGUCUGAGAGAGAUGAGGAUGAUCUCCAAGCUUCUGUUUUCAUCUGUUAGGGACAGUACUUUCUUUGAGAGUUGUGGAGUUGCUGAUCUGAUUACAACGUGCUUGGGAGGAAGAAACAGGAAGGUAGCAGCCGCUUUUGCAAAGCAUGGAGGGAAGAGGUCUUUUGAUGAACUUGAAGCAGAGAUGCUGCAGGGCCAAAAAUUGCAGGGUGUCUCCACAGCAAAGGAGAUGUACGAGGUUUUAAGUCACCGUGGGUGGCUCGAGCUGUUUCCAUUGUUUGCAUCAGUCCACGAGAUCUGUAUCGGUCAUCUUUCACCAUCAGCCAUCGUCGAAUACAGCGAGCGCAGACCCAACUUCUCUGUUAUUAAUGGCCAAGCUCAGUAGUUUUAACAAGACUGGCUCUCGCCUAUUUCAGAUGUAGUGUGUUCAUGAAGGUUGGUUAGAACAGAGCAUUUGAGAGAUUGAAAACAGAGCAUUUGAGAGAUUGAAAUGUGUUUCCUGAUAAUAUUGAUUAGUUUCCAUUCAAUAUUGCAUUGACACUGAGAAGGUAUGGAGAUUGGUAAUGGAAACAAGAACAAACAGGACACCAUGUCCUUUUCUCA